rnacentral:rRNA from 1 species
AUACUGUCAUUAUCAUCUCUGGCGAAAGAGCUUUACGACCCUAAGGCCUUCGUCACUCACGCGGCAUGGCUAGAUCAGGCUUGCGCCCAUUGUCUAAGAUUCCCCA